rnacentral:rRNA from 1 species
UACGGAGGAUGCAAGCGUUAUCCGGAUUGAUUGGGCGUAAAGCGUCUGUAGGUGGUUACGCUAGUCGGCUGUUAAAGAUCAGGGCUGAACCCUGAGCAAGCAGUCGAAACUGCGUGGCUGGAGCACGGUAGGGGCAGAGGGAAUUCCCGGUGUAGCGGUGAAAUGCGUAGAUAUCGGGAAGAACACCAAAGGCGAAAGCGCUCUGCUGGGCCGAAACUGACACUGGGAGACGAAAGCUAGGGGAGCGAAUGGG